CCUACGGUGUCUGCAGUGGGGAAUAUUGGGCAAUGGACGCACGUCUGACCCAGCAACGCCGCGUGAAGGAAGAAGGCUUUCGGGUUGUAAACUUCUUUUAAGGGGGAAGAGCAGAAGACGGUACCCCUUUAAUACGCCACGGCUAACUACGUGACAGCAGCCGCAGUAAUACGUAGGUGGCACGCGUUGUCCGGAUUUACUGGGUGUAAAGGGCGUGCAGCCGGAGAGACAAGUCAGAUGUGAAAUCCACGGGCUCAACCCGUGAACUGCAUUUGAAACUGGUUCCCUUGAGUGUCGGAGAGGCAGUCGGAAUGCGUGGUGUAGCGGUGAAAUGCGUAGAGAUAAGGAAGAACACCGGUUGCGAAGGCGGAUUACUGGACGAUAACUGACGGUGAGGCGCGAAAGCGUGGGGAGCAAACAGGAUUAGAUACCCCAGUAGUC
rnacentral:rRNA from 1 species